UACGUAGGGUGCGAGCGUUGUCCGGAAUUAUUGGGCGUAAAGAGCUCGUAGGCGGUGUGUCGCGUCGGCCGUGAAAACCUGCAGCUUAACUGUGGGCGUGCGGUCGAUACGGGCAUCACUGGAGUUCGGCAGGGGAGACUGGAAUUCCUGGUGUAGCGGUGAAAUGCGCAGAUAUCAGGAGGAACACCGGUGGCGAAGGCGGGUCUCUGGGCAGUAACUGACGCUGAGGAACGAAAGCGUGGGUAGCGAACAGG
rnacentral:rRNA from 1 species